AGCUUUGCGCAGUGGCAGUAUCAUAGACAAUGAGGUUUAUCCGAGGGCGAUUAUUGAAAGCUUUUCCCAAUACCCCGCCGUGACAACUUGAAAUAUAGUCAGCACUAGCAAUUUUUGAAGGUAAAAAAAAAACAAUAUAACUUUA